CAAACCAAAGCUGGCGACCGGCGCACGGGUGAGUAACACGUAUCCAACCUGCCUCAUACUCGGGGAUAGCCUUUCGAAAGAAAGAUUAAUAUCCGAUAGCAUAUAUUUCCCGCAUGGGUUUUAUAUUAAAGAAAUUCGGUAUGAGAUGGGGAUGCGUUCCAUUAGUUUGUUGGGGGGGUAACGGCCCACCAAGACUACGGUGGAUAGGGGUUCUGAGAGGAAGGUCCCCCACAUUGGAACUGAGACACGGUCCAA
rnacentral:rRNA from 1 species